UUAAGUUCAGCGGGUAUCCCUACCUGAUCCGAGGUCAAAGUGAUAAAAUAGCUUGCUGGGAGGAGACAGGCUGGAGCCGCGACGCAAUGUGCUGCGCACGAAGCCAACUUGCCGGCUGCCAAUGAAUUUGAGGCGAGUCCACGCGCGGAGGCGGAACAAACGCCCAACACCAAGCAGAGCUUGAAGGGUUAAAUGACGCU
rnacentral:misc_RNA from 1 species